GAUGAACGCUGGCGGCGUGCCUAAUACAUGCAAGUCGAGCGAACGGACGAGAAGCUUGCUUCUCUGAUGUUAGCGGCGGACGGGUGAGUAACACGUGGAUAACCUACCUAUAAGACUGGGAUAACUUCGGGAAACCGGAGCUAAUACCGGAUGAUAUUUUGAACCGCAUGGUUCAAAAGUGAAAGACGGUCUUGCUGUCACUUAUAGAUGGAUCCGCGCUGCAUUAGCUAGUUGGUAAGGUAACGGCUUACCAAGGCAACGAUGCAUAGCCGACCUGAGAGGGUGAUCGGCCACACUGUAACUGAGACACGGUCCAGACUCCUACGGGAGGCAGCAGUAGGGAAUCUUCCGCAAUGGGCGGAAGCCUGACGGAGCAACGCCGCGUGAGUGAUGAAGGUCUUCGGAUCGUAAAACUCUGUUAUUAGGGAAGAACAUAUGUGUAAGUAACUGUGCACAUCUUGACGGUACCUAAUCAGAAAGCCACGGCUAACUACGUG
rnacentral:rRNA from 1 species